rnacentral:rRNA from 1 species
CCUACGGGUGGCAGCAGUGGGGAAUAUUGGGCAAUGGACGCAAGUCUGACCCAGCAACGCCGCGUGAAGGAAGAAGGCUUUCGGGUUGUAAACUUCUUUUAAGGGGGAAGAGCAGAAGACGGUACCCCUGGAAUAAGCCACGGCUAACGACGGGCCAGCAGCCGCGGUAAUACGUAGGUGGCAAGCGUUGUCCGGAUUUACUGGGUGUAAAGGGCGUGCAGCCGGAGAGACCAGUCAGAUGUGAAAUCCACGGGCUCAACCCGGGAACGGCCUUUGAAACUGUUUCCCUUGAGUGUCGGAGAGGUCAUCGGCAUUCCUUGUGUCGCGGUUACAUGCGUAGCUAUCAGGACGAACACCAGUGGCGAAGGCGGCUUACUGGACGAUACCUGCCGGUGAGGCGCGACAGCGUGGGGAGCAAACAGGAUUAGAUACCCGGGUAGUC